rnacentral:rRNA from 1 species
AUGGGGGGAACCCUGACGGAGCGACGCCGCGUGGACGAUGAAGGCCGGAAGUUGUAAAGUCCUUUUGGUUGUGAAGAAUAAGCAAGACAGGCAAUGGUUUUGCGGUGACGGUAGCAACUGAAUAAGCACCGGCUAAUUACGUGCCAGCAGCCGCGGUAACACGUAAGGUGCGAGCGUUGUUCGGAAUUAUUGGGCGUAAAGGGCAUGCAGGCGGCAUUGCAAGCCUGGCGUGAAAUGCAGGGGCUCAACUCCUGCGCUGCGCCGGGAACUGUGAAGCUUGAGUUUCUGAGGGGCAGCCGGAAUUCCACAUGUAGGGGUGAAAUCUGUAGAUAUGUGGAGGAACACUAAUGGCGAAGGCAGGCUGCCAGCGGAUGACUGACGCUGAGGUGCGAAGGUGCGGGGAGCGAACAGGAUUAGAUACCCUGGUAGUCCGCACAGUCAACGAUGUGCACUAGAUGUCUGUCCACGAGGAUGGGUGUCAAAGCGAACGCGAUAAGUGCACCGCCUGGGGAGUAUGCCCGCAAGGGUGAAACUCAAAGGAAUUGACGGGGGCCCGCACAAGCGGUGGAGCAUGUGGUUAAUUCGAUGGUACGCGAAGAACCUACUGGGUUGACUACCAGUGAUGUAUAAAAUUUA